GAUGAACGCUGGCGGCGUGCCUAAUACAUGCAAGUCGAGCGAACAGACGAGGAGCUUGCUCCUCUGACGUUAGCGGCGGACGGGUGAGUAACACGUGGAUAACCUACCUAUAAGACUGGGAUAACUUCGGGAAACCGGAGCUAAUACCGGAUAAUAUAUUGAACCGCAUGGUUCAAUAGUGAAAGACGGUUUUGCUGUCACUUAUAGAUGGAUCCGCGCCGCAUUAGCUAGUUGGUAAGGUAACGGCUUACCAAGGCAACGAUGCGUAGCCGACCUGAGAGGGUGAUCGGCCACACUGGAACUGAGACACGGUCCAGACUCCUACGGGAGGCAGCAGUAGGGAAUCUUCCGAAAUGGGCGAAAGCCUGACGGAGCAACGCCGCGUGAGUGAUGAAGGUCUUCGGAUCGUAAAACUCUGUUAUUAGGGAAGAACAAAUGUGUAAGUAACUAUGCACGUCUUGACGGUACCUAAUCAGAAAGCCACGGCUAACUACG
rnacentral:rRNA from 1 species